ensembl:lncRNA
UAGUGUGAAAGCUUAUUUCUAUCAAGAUUUUGUUUUUCCUUGCUUGAUAGCAUUGCUCUAAGGGCAGAGUGUAGAAGGCAGAAAUGCUUGCAGAAUGAGUUAACAAUUAGAGGUGACUUCUGUCUGCAAAGAAGCACGUAGAUUUUUUUUUUUUCUGGAAAGGGUGAGGCCUUUGUUUAUCUAGUCUGUGCAGUAGGGUUGCUGAGGGUGCACUUAGUCCCACUGUUGCUGUCAUUGAUGAUGUUGCAGAGCAUUGGUCCUGGUACUGAACUGGGAGAAAUACUGCUUACCUCCAUCCAAUCCGGACAUUGAGCCGUUGACCGCCGCUGUCUGCGUACAAUAUCAUAACCAGUUCCUUGUCCAUCAAACGAUCCACCUGUCAAGUCCAUAUCUUUCCUAUUUGAAGAGAACAGUGUCGUGGGGACCAUGUCAAAGGCCUUGUCCAAAUAGAUGACAUCAGUGGCUCUUCCCUUGUUCACUGAUGCAGUUACACUGUAAAGAAGGCCACUACGUUGGUCAGGCAGGACCUGCACCUGGUGAAGUCGUGUUGGUUGUCUGCUAUUACCUCGUUGUCCAUGUGCCUUAAUAUAGCUUCCGUGAGGAUCUGUUCCAUCAUCUUCCUCGGCACUGAGAGCCCAUGCCUCUUGUGAAGCAGUCCAGCAGUCCCGAGAGUCCAGCCAGCUUUUUUUCCUGUGCCCACCUGGCGUGAAAUACUGCUCUGGGUAACAAAUGCAUGGAUGCCAUGCACUGAGGGCAACGAUGGCUUUCAGGUGAUGGCUGAGGAUUGUAGUUUUGGAUGAGUUGUGACAGAUGCAUCAACAUAGCACUGAAGUAUUUUAAUUGUGGGGACUGGCACUGUCAGUUUGAGUGCUGUCUGACAGAUCGGAGUGGUGCUUUGAUCUGUUCACUCACCUGUCACUUCCAUUAAGCACUGAAAAUGCAAAGCCGCUCCCCUCUUGCACUCACCAUUCCUUUGUUGCUGAGGUGGCAUUUUGCCCAGACAGGAGAUGCUUUCUGGGGCUCUAACUUCCUGCUGCAUUGCCUGUAGUGAAUGCUUGGUAAGCAUCUGACCAUGCUGUGAUCCUCCUGGUUUAUGAACUCUUCCUGCUUUGUAAGAGACCACCUCCAAGCAGUGACAUUGUAGCUGUAAAUGUUUUGACAGAGGCAGGCAUGCCUCAGAAGAAAGAGACCUUCCAGGAAUGGAGUCAUUUAUCCUUUUCUUGCAGGGCAGAUCAGGUGCUCAGAAUGGAAAUCUUGGUUAUUGACAAAUUAUGCAGGAACUCCAUAUACAAGGGAUAUAUAAAUAUGUAUAUAAAAGAUGCAGGCACAUACUUUUUUAGUUUUAGAAAAAGGUGUAUUUGGGCAUUGGGAAACAGGGAGGGGCAACAAACCCUAUCUUUAAGAUCAAAUGCAAAAUGUACCGAAUCAUAACAUUACACAAAAUGCCCUGGGAAAAGAGAUAGAAUCCUGUCUAGGAUUCAUCUGGCAACAAUGACUUUUUCUUUAUUUCUUUACUUAGAGAUAAAAUAGAAAUAGUGUAAAAUAUUGAUGCAAGUGAAAUAAUCACUUUGAUAUUCUGAGAUGCAGCAGAGUGCAAAUAACAAAAGAAAUGCCUUAAUAAUCAAAUAACCCAAUCAAAGCACCCAGCUUUGUUGGUACAAGUUAUCUUGGGUAGCACCCAGGUUAUAAUUACUGGUAUUCAUGUUGUUCUAGUGUAUUACCCAAUUGUGCUAGACUGAGCUGUAGCUCUGUGGUUGUGAAUUGUUUCCAGUUAACUUCUUGGUUAUUACUUUUAAAAAUGAAGGAUUCCCCUCUGUGACCUCAGUCACACCUGUCCCUUCAAACUGAGCAUGAUAGCAAAAGCCUCUGUUCAUGAUCAGACUUGACCCACGUGGCAAAAUCACACUGAGCAAAAGUUGCAGCUGUGAUGCAGAAUCCCCCCUGUAGGAGCAGAGCCCAAUGCAUGCUUCCAAAGAGCCAGGAGAAUAGUUUUGCAUGUGCUGUGUGUAAUCUGAUCUGAAGGUUAUAGAGCAGGUAAUCCACCUCGGUGGGUGGCCCUCGUCAGCCUCCCACAGCAUAGCUCUGCAGAGGGCAGCUGGGGGGUAAGUCUGUCCCCAGCUGGCUGCAGACUCCCACCUCCCAGCCUUGGCUCACUCUUCAUUAGGCAUUUUUCAUCAGACUAGGAUUUUCAUUAAGCUGCUAGAUCAGCUAUGCACAGCAAGCCUUUCCUCAGGCCUUUGCUUUCUAAACUUUUUAAAGGAAACAAACAAACAAAAAGCUAUGCCUGUGCAUUACAGCUGCUCAAAUCAAAAUAUUUCUUUUGGCAUGAGAGAAAGCAUUGUGCAUAGCCUUGUGAGCUUGGAUGGUUCAAGCUCACACUGGAUUUUUGUUAGGGGACGUUAGCUUUCCCUCUGUAAACAACCAUUAAUUUUACAGCUAACUUUUUUUUUGUGUGUGUGUGUGUGUGAACGUGUUCCCCUUCCCUACCUCAGCAUGAAGCAUUCAAUCCAACACCAAGGACUGCAAGC